ACGCUGGCGGCAGGCCUAACACAUGCAAGUCGAGCGGUAGAGAGAAGCUUGCUUCUCUUGAGAGCGGCGGACGGGUGAGUAAUGCCUAGGAAUCUGCCUGGUAGUGGGGGAUAACGUUCGGAAACGGACGCUAAUACCGCAUACGUCCUACGGGAGAAAGCAGGGGACCUUCGGGCCUUGCGCUAUCAGAUGAGCCUAGGUCGGAUUAGCUAGUUGGUGGGGUAAUGGCUCACCAAGGCGACGAUCCGUAACUGGUCUGGGAGGAUGAUCAGUCACACUGGAACUGAGACACGGUCCAGACUCCUACGGGAGGCAGCAGUGGGGAAUAUUGGACAAUGGGCGAAAGCCUGAUCCAGCCAUGCCGCGUGUGUGAAGAAGGUCUUCGGAUUGUAAAGCACUUUAAGUUGGGAGGAAGGGCAGUUGCCUAAUACGUAGCUGUUUUGACGUUACCGACAGAAUAAGCACCGGCUAACUCUGUGCCAGCAGCCGCGGUAAUACAGAGGGUGCAAGCGUUAAUCGGAAUUACUGGGCGUAAAGCGCGCGUAGGUGGUUUGUUAAGUUGGAUGUGAAAUCCCCGGGCUCAACCUGGGAACUGCAUUCAAACUGACUGACUAGAGUAUGGUAGAGGGGUGGUGGAAUUUCCUGUGU
rnacentral:rRNA from 1 species